rnacentral:rRNA from 1 species
GACGAACGCUGGCGGCGUGCCUAAUACAUGCAAGUUGAGCGCUGAAGGUUGGUACUUGUACCAACUGGAUGAGCAGCGAACGGGUGAGUAACGCGUGGGGAAUCUGCCUUUGAGCGGGGGACAACAUUUGGAAACGAAUGCUAAUACCGCAUAAAAACUUUAAACACAAGUUUUAAGUUUGAAAGAUGCAAUUGCAUCACUCAAAGAUGAUCCCGCGUUGUAUUAGCUAGUUGGUGAGGUAAAGGCUCACCAAGGCGAUGAUACAUAGCCGACCUGAGAGGGUGAUCGGCCACAAUGGGACUGAGACACGGCCCAAACUCCUACGGGAGGCAGCAGUAGGGAAUCUUCGGCAAUGGACGAAAGUCUGACCGAGCAACGCCGCGUGAGUGAAGAAGGUUUUCGGAUCGUAAAACUCUGUUGGUAGAGAAGAACGUUGGUGAGAGUGGAAAGCUCAUCAAGUGACGGUAACUACACAGAAAGGGACGGCUAACUACGUG